rnacentral:lncRNA from 12 species
AUGCAAAGUAGUUCUUUGGUUAACCUGGCUCUCAGAGAUUUGAAAACCCCACGUGUCUCCCUCUGUCCUGGCAACUCUCCUCUAUGCCUGAAGAAGAAUAAUUUUGUAUGUUUCAACCAGAAGCCAUCAUUCCACUUGAGCAUCAUCAGUCAUGUGUGGAUGACCAAGGCGAUGGAUGCUCAGAUUGCUCCUGCCUUUGUUGUUUGGGUGACUAGAGGCAUAGUUUUUCACCGCACAAAUCCCUGGAAGAGCGUCCUUGUGAGAACCGGUUUUCUGGAAUCUCAGUAUGCCUAAAUUCUAAGAACUAUUCUCCCACUCUUCUCUUGCUUUCCAUGAAUGCUAGCUCUCCUCCGACUGCAAAUACCUUCAUAUGAGCUUGGUGUUCCACGAAAGGAAGGAAGUUGAAAGAAAGCAGGAAUGAGAAUUAGAUGUUAUUUUGUCCUUUGCUUUCUAAGGUCAAAAGUAGACUGUAUUGAAAAGAGGUUUUACUAUUUCAGCUGAUAUAUCUCUAUUUCUUUCAAUACCUGUAGGGUAACACAUAAUCUUUUCAGUGACUCCGGUGUAGACUUUGUGUAGGUCAUAGAACCUCCACUCACCAUUCACACUCAUCACUCUGGCUCAUUUCACUUGCUCCCCAUUGUUAAUAGAUGGGAAGACACCACAGCAUCCCUUGCAGCCAAUAAUUAGCAUAAUGUAAACACAUGAAUCUAAAAUACUAGCCAAAAAUAAGCAAGAGUAAGAAAAACACAUAUUUUCUAGACCUUGCUGAUUUCCUUACCUGUGUGGUCUUUUCACAGACAGGACUCUCCAGACCAAUAUUCUUCUGUCGAUUCCAAAUGAGGAAUGAAGAUUUAGGACAUCUAAUUACUAAAUGUCCCUGCUUUAUUGCCCCCAAAUCUUGUCUGUCGUUCACCUUCUGUGUGUUUUGUUAUACUUUGUGUAUUUGACCACAAUUUCUUCCUUCAUAUAUUAUUACAUUUGUUUGUCAUCCCCCAAGUAGAUUAUAUAUUUAAAACGUGGGGCAGCCCGGGUGGCUAGGCGGUUUAGCGCCUCCUUCAGCCCAGGGCGUGAUCCUGGAGACCCGGGAUCAAGUCCCAUGUCAGGCUCCCUGCAUGGAGCCUGCUGCUCCCUCUGCCUGUGUCUCUGCUUCUGUGUGUGUGUGUGUGUCUGUCAUGAAAAAAUAAAUAAAAUAUUUUAAAAAUAAUAAAAUGAAAA